rnacentral:rRNA from 1 species
UUGGAGAGUUUGAUCCUGGCUCAGGACGAACGCUGGCGGGCGUGCCUAACACAUGCAAGUCGAGCGAUGAAGUUUCCUUCGGGAAAUGGAUUAGCGGCGGACGGGUGAGUAACACGUGGGUAACCUGCCUUGUAGAGGGGGAUAGCCUUCCGAAAGGAAGAUUAAUACCGCAUAAGAUUGUAGUUUCGCAUGAAACAGCAAUUAAAGGAGUAAUCCGCUACAAGAUGGACCCGCGGCGCAUUAGCUAGUUGGUGAGGUAAUGGCUCACCAAGGCGACGAUGCGCUAAUACGAGAUGAUACUAUGAGAUGGACCCGCGGCGCAUUAGCUAGUUGGUGGGGUAACGGCCUACCAAGGCGACGAUGCGUAGCCGACCUGAGAGGGUGAUCGGCCACAUUGGGACUGAGACACGGCCCAGACUCCUACGGGAGGCAGCAGUGGGGAAUAUUGCACAAUGGGGGAAAGCCUGAUGCAGCAACGCCGCGUGAGCGAUGAAGGCNUUCGGGUCGUAAAGCUCUGUCCUCAAGGAAGAUAAUGACGGUACUUGAGGAGGAAGCCCCGGCUAACUACGUGCCAGCAGCCGCGGUAAUACGUAGGGGGCUAGCGUUAUCCGGAAUUACUGGGCGUAAAGCGCACGCAGG